rnacentral:rRNA from 1 species
CUGGACGUGAGAUAUUGGUCAUGGACGCAGUCUGACCAGCCAUGCCGCGUGCAGGAUGACGGUCCUAUGGAUUGUAAACUGCUUUUGUACGAGAAGAAACACUCCUACGUGUAGGAGCUUGACGGUAUCGUAAGAAUAAGGAUCGGCUAACUCCGUGCCAGCAGCCGCGGUAAU